rnacentral:tRNA from 10 species
CUAGCUCAGUUGGUAGAGCGCAACCUUGCCAAGGUUGAGGUCACGAGUUCGAACCUCGUGUGUCGCUCCA